CAACACAGCUACAGCAGGGCCUCUCAAGCCACUGAAGGCAGCACCAGCCACUGGCUUCUCCCCUCUUCCUGUACAUUAUCUUCAUUCUCUAUCUAUAUGCUAACUUUAUCUUCUAGGUGAAAACAUGACUGUCAGCAGCUUCCAAGCUUUAUCAUUCACAGAGCUUCCCUGAACACAGACUCAUUCCAUUCUCUAGGUCUCUAAGCCCAAAAAGCUAAGAGAAAGACUUCGAUUAGCCUGAGUUAGGCCAGCUGUUCACCCCUGAACUAUCCAGAGCAGCCCUGCAGCUGGGCCAUUCCCAGAGAGAGGGAUAGGAAAAGGCACUCACUCUACACAAGAAACAGCUCUAGUUUCCUUCCUUAAUAAAGUAGUUUCACUUAAAAACAAAAUGAAACAAAAAACACUGACUAAAAUGCUAAUAUGAAAUGAGCAACCGGGGUAAAGAAGUAUUCAUAAUUUCAAAAGCAGACACAAAUAUGAUUUGGAGAAGAAACAGCAGUCACGGAUAAAUCAAAUUAUCAAACGUAAUACACUGAUAGAGAGCUUUAAUGAAGAGCCAAUAAGCACAUGAACUGGAGGCUUUGUGUAAGAAACCCUCACUGAAUACUGUUAAAGUUGUCGGAAUCAAAAUAGAGUUACUUGUGACAAAAUGGAGCUGGGAAAGGCCAGGAAGGGUUCUGAAUGCUCAAUCACCUGAAAACAGGAACUAUCACAAAAGACUAUACCAAAACCACAACCUUGCACAAAGGCCACUGCAACCUUAUGGAAAACAAACAAACAAACAACUUUCACAAGGACAUCUGCCCAGCAACUGCCUGUUUAACCUUGGACUAAUGUCACCCUUAUUGUUGAUCCCUGUAAGCAAGGAUAAUUGUUUCAAAAUAACUUAUGUAACUCUCCCCGUUUUACCUUUAAAAACCGCUGUCUUCCCUUGCCUCUUUGAAUGUGCCCAUAGUUUACUUGGUAUGUGUAUUCCACACUACAAUGCUUACUCUUGAUAAACUUACUGUCUUUGGAGAAUCUCUCUGUUAUUUAGGUUGACAACAUAUUCACUGAAAAGUUAACCUUGUUACUCAAUAAAGUCAUUAAAAUGA